GACGAACGCUGGCGGCGUGCUUAACACAUGCAAGUCGAACGGAGCGAAUGAAAGCUUGCUUUGAUAAGCUUAGUGGCAAACGGGUGAGUAACACGUAGACAACCUGCCGACAGGAUGGGGACAACAUUCCGAAAGGAAUGCUAAUACCGAAUGAAGCGGAGGAGAGGCAUCUCUCCUCUGUGAAAGAUGGCCUCUAUAUAUAAGCUAUCACCUGUCGAUGGGUCUGCGUCUGAUUAGCUGGUAGGUGAGGUAACGGCUCACCUAGGCGACGAUCAGUAGCCGGUCUGAGAGGAUGAACGGCCACAUUGGGACUGAGACACGGCCCAGACUCCUACGGGAGGCAGCAGUGGGGAAUCUUCCGCAAUGGGCGCAAGCCUGACGGAGCAACGCCGCGUGAGUGAAGAAGGUCUUCGGAUCGUAAAGCUCUG
rnacentral:rRNA from 1 species